rnacentral:rRNA from 1 species
UCCAUGAAGUCGGAAUCGCUAGUAAUCGCGGAUCAGAAUGCCGCGGUGAAUACGUUCCCGGGCCUUGUACACACCGCCCGUCACACCAUGGGAGUUUGUUGCACCAGAAGUAGCUAGCCUAACUGCAAAGAGGGCGGUUACCACGGUGUGGCCGAUGACUGGGGUGAAGUCGUAACAAGGUAGCCGUAGGGGAACCUGCGGCUGGAUCACCUCCUUAA